CUGGUGCUUCUAGCAAACUAAUCCCUCCUAGGCCACCCCUUGCAAUAAGUACUUCAUCGCCUGGUUGUGCUAAAUCAGCCAGUAGCUUCCCUCUUUUAUGCUUGACGACAGUGCCUACAGGCACAGGGAUACGCAAAGUUGGGGCAGCGAAUCCAUCAUGCAACUGUGAUGUCAAAACACCCAUAGUAUCAACAUUUCCACCGCGUUUUGCAUUAAAGCGGCCUUUGGAGUGAAACUCCAAUAAGGAAUGUUUUCCC
rnacentral:misc_RNA from 1 species